UGAGAGGAACUAUGCUCAAGGAGCCUCAUGCAUACCUGGACCUGAUUUAAAUGAUGAGAUGCUGGACUUCAAGCAGAUGUUGUAAUGAUAUGAGGUUUUCAGGGACCUUGGGAAAUAGUAAAUGUAUUUUGCAUGUGAGAGGGACACAAAUCAUUGGAGGCCAAAAGGGUGAACCGAGGACAGAUGCUAGGGUAGCUCCCACAAUCCCCACCUCCUGGUUUCACCCUUGUGGGAUCUCUCCAUGAGUGUGGGUGGAACCUGUGAUUUGCUUCUAACUAGUAGAAUUUGGCAAAAAUGAUGAGAUAUAUGUGAUUAUGUUUACAUGAUUAUAUUAUAUAAGAUUCUGAGUACAUUGAGCUGCAUAGAGAGAGCACGGGGGCAAGUGAGAGCCAGGUGGGCACUGGACAACCCUGUGCCUCACUGAGGAAAAAUAACUAAACAUGGGCAAAAGAGAUCCAUGGAACCUGAGAGGCAAAGUGUUGUUAUAUGCAUUAUUUGGCAAACUUGUCAGGAGGCGCAUAAGAAGAAGCACCCAGAUGGUUCAGUCAACUUCUCAGUUUUUUAGGAAGUGCUCAGAGAGGUGCAAGACCAUGUCUGCUAAAGAGAAAGGGAAAUUUGAAGACGUGGCAAAGGCGAACAAGGCUCGUUAUGAAAGACAAACGAAAACCUAUAUCCCUCCUAAAGAUCCUCUUUAGGACAAAAAAGUAGUUCAAGGAUCCCAACGCACCCAGGAGGCAUUCUUUGGCCGUUUUCUUGUUCUGUUCUGAAUAUUGCCCAAAAAUCAAAGGAGAACAUCCUGGCUUAUCCAUUAGUGAGUUGUAAAGAAAUUGGGAGAGAUGUGGAAGGGCACUGCCGCAGAUGAUAAGCAGCCUUAUGAAAAGAAGGCUGUGAACCUGAAGGAAAAAUAUGAAAAGGAUAUUGCUGCAUACUGAACUAAAGGAAAGCCUGAUGCAGCAAAAAAUGGAGUUGUCAAGGCUGAAAAAAGUAAGAAGAGGAAGAAGAGGAAGAUGAAGGUGAUGAUGAUGAUGAUUAUGAGUUAGUUGGUUCUAGCACAGUUUUUUUUUCUUGUCUAGAAAACAUUUAAACCCCUGUUUACAACUCCUUUUAAAGAAAGACAUUGAGAUGUAAGGCUAUGUAACAUUUGUUUUUAAACUGCGCAGUGUCUUUUUUGUAUAGUUAACACGCCACUGAACGUGGCUUUAGAUAGCACUGUCCUGAUGUAUUUUCAAUAGGCACUAACCUUGCCUGAUACAGUAUGGGGAUUGUAAACUGGCAAGGAAAUUUAAAGCAGGUUCUUCUUGGUGCACAGCACAAAUUAGUAUACGUGAGGAUGGUAGAUUUUUUAUUUUCACUUGUCUCUGAUGCAGCUUAUAUGAAAUGUUUUUUUUUUAACUGAAUACCACUCUGUAAUUGCACACAAAAAAAGUUGCAGCUGUUUUGUUGACAUUCUGAAUUCUGAAUGCUUCUAAGUAAAUACAAUUUUUUUAUUAGUAAACAAAAAUGUUCUAAUCCAUCUUUUCAGAAGAUUCUCUCUCACUUGCUGACUUUGAAAGAGCAAGUGGCCAUGUGAAGAGGGCCACAUAGCAUAGGAGCUGAAGGCAGCCUCCAACUGACAGCAAGAAAAUGAGGUCCUCAAUCAGACAACCUGCAAGAAACUGAAUGCUCUAAAAGCCACAUGAGCUUGGGAGCAGAUCUGACCCUAGCCAAAUCUCUGAAGUCCACAGGCAGGAAAUGAAGAUCAGAAAAAGACUGUUGUCUCAUGAAUAUGAGCCAGACUCCACAGAAGCUGGAGUCCUUCAUUAUGGAGCUAAACACACACAUCUGGCUUAGGAGUCAGAAAAACUCAAAGAGAAUUCAGGGAAGUAGAGAAAUUGCAAGCUCAGAUGCUGCUUCAUACCAAAGAAGCAAGUCAGCAGAUCAGCAACAAUGAGUGUCAGCUCCAAAAUGACUUACACAGGUACCAAGACAAGACAUUAUAUACACUUAUAUUGUCAAAUACUUUAAAACUGUUAACAAACUUGCUACAAUUGUCUCAUUUGUCUUUUAACCUUAAUAUCACAGGUCAAGUUUGUAAUCUCAAAAGUUCACCCUGGCUGCUGUAUGGAGUAUUCUCUUAUCUGCUCAUAUUACAUUGUGCUUAUUCAUUCAUCAGUUAAUGGAAAUUUGGGUUGUUUCCUGAUUUUGACUGUAAUGAAUAAUGUUGCUGUAAACAUUUGUGUACA